GCUGCUCAAUGUGUCCAGUUGUUCCACAGUUAAAGAACUUUGGUAUACUUUAUUGUGAAUAGAAUUGGCCACACAGUAGAAAUAACUUUCCGUUUGCUUUGCUGGUCUCACUGUUUAUUUGUCUUUUUUGCAUAGUCCAAUACGAUCUCUAAUUGAGUCAGGCUUUGGCGCCAGUAAGGUCUGAUGUGAGGCUAUAUUAUGGGGCAAG
rnacentral:misc_RNA from 1 species